rnacentral:rRNA from 1 species
GACGUAGGGCGCGAGCGUUGUCCGGAUUUAUUGGGCGUAAAGAGCUCGUAGGCGGCCUUCUAAGUCGAACGUGAAAUCCCCGGGCUCAACCCGGGAACUGCGUCCGAUACUGGGAGGCUUGAAUCCGGGAGAGGGAUGCGGAAUUCCAGGUGUAGCGGUGAAAUGCGUAGAUAUCUGGAGGAACACCGGUGGCGAAGGCGGCAUCCUGGACCGGCAUUGACGCUGAGGCGCGAAAGCCAGGGGAGCAAACGGG